rnacentral:rRNA from 1 species
UACGUAGGGUGCAAGCGUUAAUCGGAAUUACUGGGCGUAAAGCGUGCGCAGGCGGCUUUGCAAGACAGAUGUGAAAUCCCCGGGCUUAACCUGGGAACUGCAUUUGUGACUGCAUGGCUGGAGUGCGGCAGAGGGGGAUGGAAUUCCGCGUGUAGCAGUGAAAUGCGUAGAUAUGCGGAGGAACACCGAUGGCGAAGGCAAUCCCCUGGGCCUGCACUGACGCUCAGACCCGAAAGCGUGGGGAUCAAACAGG